GACGGAGGAUGCAAGCGUUAUCCGGAAUGAUUGGGCGUAAAGCGUCCGCAGGCGGCAGUUCAAGUCUGCUGUCAAAGACCGGGGCUUAACUUCGGAAAGGCAGUGGAAACUGAACAGCUAGAGUAUGGUAGGGGCAGAGGGAAUUCCUGGUGUAGCGGUGAAAUGCGUAGAUAUCAGGAGGAACACCGAUGGCGAAGGCAGCUCGCUGGGACGGUACUGACGCUGAGGCGCGAAAGCGUGGGGAGCAAACAGG
rnacentral:rRNA from 1 species